rnacentral:rRNA from 1 species
CAUUAUACCGUGAAACUGCGAAUGGCUCAUUAAAUCAGUUAUCGUUUAUUUGAUAGUACCUUACUACUUGGAUAACCGUGGUAAUUCUAGAGCUAAUACAUGCUAAAAACCCCAACUUCGGGAGGGGUGUAUUUAUUAGAUAAAAAACCAAUGCCCUCCGGGGCUCUUUGGUGAUUCAUGAUAACUUAACGGAUCGCAUGGCCUUGCGCCGGCGACGGUUCAUUCAAAUUUCUGCCCUAUCAACUUUCGAUGGUAAGGUAUUGGCUUACCAUGGUUUCAACGGGUAACGGGGAAUUAGGGUUCGAUUCCGGAGAGGGAGCCUGAGAAACGGCUACCACAUCCAAGGAAGGCAGCAGGCGCGCAAAUUACCCAAUCCCGACUCGGGGAGGUAGUGACAAUAAAUACUGAUACAGGGCUCUUUUGGGUCUUGUAAUCGGAAUGAGUACAAUUUAAACCCCUUAACGAGGAACAAUUGGAGGGCAAGUCUGGUGCCAGCAGCCGCGGUAAUUCCAGCUCCAAUAGCGUAUAUUAAAGUUGUUGCAGUUAAAAAGCUCGUAGUUGAACCUUGGGCCUGGCUGGCCGGUCCGCCUCACCGCGUGUACUGGUCCGGCCGGGCCUUUCCUUCUGGAGAGCCGCAUGCCCUUCACUGGGUGUGUCGGGGAACCAGGACUUUUACUUUGAAAAAAUUAGAGUGUUCAAAGCAGGCCUUUGCUCGAAUACGUUAGCAUGGAAUAAUAGAAUAGGACGUGCGGUCCUAUUUUGUUGGUUUCUAGGACCGCCGUAAUGAUUAAUAGGGAUAGUCGGGGGCAUCAGUAUUCAAUUGUCAGAGGUGAAAUUCUUGGAUUUAUUGAAGACUAACUACUGCGAAAGCAUUUGCCAAGGAUGUUUUCAUUAAUCAGUGAACGAAAGUUAGGGGAUCGAAGACGAUCAGAUACCGUCGUAGUCUUAACCGUAAACUAUGCCGACUAGGGAUCGGGCGAUGUUUCUAUCUUGACUCGCUCGGCACCUUACGAGAAAUCAUAAGUU